CCCAAAUCUCUUUCAAAUCAUAAAAUUGAAGUCCCUCUGGGCCACCAGGACGAUUAAACAUGAGGAUAUCCUGCAUCUUCUUCUCUCUUUUGCUCCUCCUUGCCUCAGCAACCGAGUUUGGUCUGGAGUUGGCUAUACAUGGAGCUUAUGCAGCAUGGAUCCCUGAACAUACAUGUCAUAAGGUUAUCGAAACAAACUCAUGCCAACUUCACAAAUGCAUGGAAGGAUGUUCUAAGAAACCUGCUGGUUUGGGAUAUUGCAGACAAAACAUUUGUUAUUGCACUUACUAUUGUAAGGAUCCCCCAAUGUGAUUCUUUCAUUUGUCUUUCGCCACAAGCUUUCUUUGUCUUGUUUUGAGUUGGUGCUUAGAGACUAGAGAAUUGAAAGAUACUGCUUUUCAUUGUUUUUUUUUAUAAUUUUUUUAUGAAGAUAUUCAAGGAUAUUUGAUUUGAU